GGUUGAUCCUGCCAGUAGUCAUAUGCUUGUCUCAAAGAUUAAGCCAUGCAUGUCCAAGUAUAAGCGUUUAUACGGUGAAACUGCGAAUGGCUCAUUAUAUCAGUUAUGAUUUACUUGAUGAUACCUUACCACAUGGAUAACCGUGGUAAUUCUAGGGCUAAUACAUGCGAAGAGGGGACCUUGUUUGGUCUUCAGCAUUUAUUAGAUACGAACCGAUACUACACGUUAGUUUGGUGAGACAUAGUAACUUGGCGGAUCGCAGGGCCUUGCGCCGGCGACGUAUCAAACGAAUU
rnacentral:rRNA from 1 species